UUAAGACCAGGGUCUUGCUAUGUAGACCAGGCUGGCUUUGAAAUCUUCUGAGUGCUGGGAGUUUCUAAGCAUGCACGGCCAACCCUGGCUGACUCUAAUUGAAGUCCGGUCUUUAGGUUUCAGUGAAUGCCGUUCAGAAGUCACUCACCCCCAAACUGGAAACUCUGUUUAUGAUCUGAUUCAAGGACUCAAGUGCUAUUCUGAUGUCACAGAAGGCUUAUAUCUGUAGAGCAUCCACUGUGAGCCUUCAGGAUGUUUGCUGCUCAGUGACUUCAUCCCCAUUUGAAGCUCCUAUGAUAUGGAGAGAGUGGUUUGGAACACGGUACCUCUUGAAUUCUUCAAGCCAAGCGUCAUACACACCCAUUAAAGGAGCGGGGAAUCCUUGACGUGUGACUAAUAAAAAGCUACUGAGAGGCAGCGACUCCCUAGUGCAGAAGUCAGAAGAAAGCCAGCAAAUACCAAGGCUUCUCAUAAGCUCUCAGAAGCCCUAACAGAGUGGCCGCAGUGGAACCCUACUUUGUAACUGCUAUAGUAUGCCCAAAAUCUUUUUGUUUCCUCCAAAUAAAUAAAUAAAUAAAUAAAUGA